rnacentral:tRNA from 1 species
GAGGGUAUAGCUCAGUGGUAGAGCGUGUGCUUAGCAUGCAUGAGGUCCUGGGUUCAAUCCCCAGUACCCCUA